GGGAGAGCUAGGCUGGCGCGCUAGUCCUGCGUUGUUACCGUGAACGGACUUUACACGGAGCCGAAGCUCGAUGGAAGGGAUGGAUUAGUUUUGUUGGUCCCGAUCGCCUUUGCUGACAGUUUGUCCUUUGGGAUGGUCUUGCUGGGAACCAGGUCAGAUGCGGAAGCAAGCAGCCUUAACUUUCAAGUUCCAUGUUCAAAGGGUUGCAAGCUCGAGAAGCUUUUGGGAUUAAACCAACGAGGUUAGUUUGUUUCGACUGUCGGGCAUGCCCC
rnacentral:SRP_RNA from 1 species